GGCUUCGGUCCUGCUUAUACUCGAAAAUUUAGGCGAAGAUAAGCAUGUAGAAAGCGUAUGGCUUCCUCGUUUGGACGAGGGUUCGACUCCCUCCAGCUCCACAA
rnacentral:tmRNA from 1 species